rnacentral:rRNA from 1 species
CACGUAGGGGGCAAGCGUUGUCCGGAUUUAUUGGGCGUAAAGAGCUCGUAGGUGGCUUAGUAAGUCGGGUGUGAAACCUCCAGGCUCAACCUGGAGACGCCACCCGAUACUGCUAUAGCUUGAGUCCGGUAGGGGAGCGUGGAAUUCCUGGUGUAGCGGUGAAAUGCGCAGAUAUCAGGAGGAACACCGGUGGCGAAGGCGGGUCUCUGGGCAGUUACUGACGCUGAGGAGCGAAAGCGUGGGGAGCAAACGGG